UUAAGCAUAUCAAUAAGCGGAGGAAAAGAAACCAACAGGGAUUGCCCUAGUAACGGCGAGUGAAGCGGCAACAGCUCAAAUUUGAAAUCUGCCCCUCUUUGGGGGUCCGAGUUGUAAUUUGCAGAGGGUGCUUUGGCAUCGGCGGCGGUCUAAGUUCCUUGGAACAGGACAUCGCAGAGGGUGAGAAUCCCGUACGUGGGCGCCUGCCUCUGCCGUGUAAAGCCCCUUCGACGAGUCGAGUUGUUUGGGAAUGCAGCUCUAAAUGGGAGGUAAAUUUCUUCUAAAGCUAAAUACCGGCCAGAGACCGAUAGCGCACAAGUAGAGUGAUCGAAAGAUGAAAAGUACUUUGGAAAGAGAGUCAAAUAGCACGUGAAAUUGUUGAAAGGGAAGCGCUUGCAGCCAGACGUGCCCGCAGUUGCUCACCCAGGCUCCGGCCUGGGGCACUCUUCUGCGGGCAGGCCAGCAUCAGUUUGGGCGGUUGGAUAAAGGCCUCUGUCACGUAUCUCCCUUCGGGGAGACCUUAUAGGGGAGGCGCAAUGCAACCAGCCCGGACUGAGGUCCGCGCAUCUGCUAGGAUGCUGGCGUAAUGGCUGUAAGCGGCCCGUCUUGAAACACGGACCAAGGAGUCUAACAUCUAUGCGAGUGUUUGGGUGUCAAGCCCGGGCGCGUAAUGAAAGUGAACGGAGGUGGGAACCCUUUGGGUGCACCAUCGACCGAUCCUGAUGUCUUCGGAUGGAUUUGAGUAAGAGCAUAGCUGUUGGGACCCGAAAGAUGGUGAACUUGGCUUGAAUAGGGUGAAGCCAGAGGAAACUCUGGUGGAGGCUCGCAGCGGUUCUGACGUGCAAAUCGAUCGUCAAAUUUGGGCAUAGGGGCGAAAGACUGAUCGACGCCAUCAAGGGGCUGGUUCCUGCCGAGGCCCCCCGGGGGUACCAA
rnacentral:rRNA from 1 species